UUUUUUUAAGGCUGCACCUGCAGCAUAUAGAAGUCACCAAGCUAAGGUGUCGAAUGUAGCUGCAGCUGCUGGCCACAGCCACAGUCACAGCAACACCGAAUCUGAGACGCAUCUGCAACCUAUGCUGCUGCAGCUUGCAGCAAUGCUCGAUCCUUAACCCACUGAGCAAGGACAAGGACUAAACCCCCAUCCUCAUGGACACAAUGUUGGGUUCUUAACCCACUGAGCCACAAUGGGAACUCCAUGGAGUAAUACCCCUUACACACCAAGCACCUUCUGAGACAUCUUUCCAUGAGAACGACCCUGCAUCAGAAACACAGCAAGCAUCACAGACACUGAUGCAUGAGGCUGGGCUGGAGCAGAGUGAUAGAUGACAAGGUCUGAAGUGCUUCCUUCACAAAUCACAUUCACUUGUCUUUUAUACUCUAAACAUUCAAUCCUCACCUAUCCAGGACCUUUUAGUUUAGAUUAUUAUAAUAUUCAUUAUAUGUUAAUACUAAUUACUACUGAUUCAGAGAAAUUUUUAGUUAUUUUAGUUACCUCUUGAAUUUUUUUUCCCUUACCCUCCUCCUAAACCCUCAAUUCUUUUUAAAAAAUUUUUAUUUCAUUGAAGCAUAGCUGAUUCACAGUGUUGUGCUAAUUUCCGUCAUACAGAAAAGUGACUCAGUUAUAUAAAUUACAUAUAUAUUAUAUACAUUCUUUUCCAUACUCUUUUCCAUGAUAGUUUAUUACAGAAUAUUGAAUAUAGUUCCCUGUGCUUGUCGUUUAUCCAUUGUGUAUAUAAUAGUUUGCAUCUGCUAAUUCCAAACUCCCAAUCCUUCUCCCACCCUUGCCUGUGGCAACCACAAGACUGUUGUCUAUGUUUGUGUGUUCCUGUUUCAUAAAUUAGUUAAUUUGUGUCAUAUUUUAAAUUCCACCUAUAAGUGAUAUCAUACGGUAUUUGUCUUACUCUUUCCGACUUACUUUGCUCAGUAUGAUCAUCUCUAGUUGCACCCAUGUUGCUGCAAAUGGUGUUAUUUCAUAUAUAUAUAUCUCAUAUCUUUUUUAUCCAUUCCUCUGUUGAUGGACAUUUAGGUUUGUCUCCAUGUCUUAGCUAUUGUGAAUUGUGCUACUAAGAACACUGGAGUGCCUGUAUCUUUUCGAAUUAUAGUUUUGUCUAGAUACCAAGGAGUGGGACUGCUGGAUCAAAUGGCAACUCUAUUUUCAGUCUUCUGAGGAAAUUCCAUGCUGUUCUCCAUGGUGUCUGCAUCAACUUACAUUCCUACCAACCAUAAAGGAGAGUUCCCUUUUCUCCACAAUCUCUCCAGCACUUGUUUUUUGUAGAUUUUUUGAUGAUGGCCAGUCUAAUCAGUGUGAGGUAGUACCUCACUGCAGUUCUGAUCUGCAUUUCUCUAAUAAUUAGUGACAAGAAGCAUCUUUUCAUGUGCCUGUUGACCAUCUUUAUAUCCUCUGAAGAGUGUAUUUAGGUCUUCUGCCCAUUUAUUGAAUGGGCAGAUAUUCAUGGGUUGAAUUCUUAUCCUCGACCCUGUACUUUUCUUUUUUCACUUUUCUCUCUCAGAAAACUUAGACACACUGACAGUAAAAGAACUAAUCAAGGGAAAGUUUUUUACAUAGUCCUUCCUAAGAGCAAAGCCCUGGACCAAGUGUUGUGAUGCAGGAGGUAGAAGAUAUCAAGUUUCUGACCUUAAUAAACACGGAACGUAGGUUCGCCCACAGUCAAAGAGCAGGAAAUGAGAACACAUCUCAGGUGCCCCCUAAGAUGAACCUUCCCCGCCCCUUCUUCUGGAGCACAAAUGUCCAGGCCUCAGCUCUACCACCUACUACAUCAGGAGCUCUCAGCACGUAACAGCACAGAGCGUCCACAUCUCUUAGGCAGAACCUUAUGAAACUGCUGAACCACAAUUGUUCUGAACUACAUUGAUCACAACAGCAACCUCACAUGGUUCCAUCUAAUAUAAAAUGGAAGUACAGUUGUCCCAACACUUCUGGGAUCACCAGAAAGUUCGAAUGAAUAUAUGGAGGCAAAGUCCUUAGGAAUUCCAGCAAAUAGUUAACAUGCGAUACAACUUUACUAUUGUCGUGACUACUUUCUGAGACUCGUUUUCCCUCCAUGAAUUUGAACUUCCUGAUUUCUAAGCCUCCUUGUCACUCAUCUCUGAGUUUAUCCUUACCCUAACUCCACCACCUAGAACAGUCCUAGGCACCUAGUCAAUGUUUCAUUCAUGUGUGUUGAUGAAUGAAUAAUGGGGUGGAGCUGAGAGGGAUUUAAGAUCACAGCACAGUGAACCAGGAGGUCAGAAGGACUUGCACAAAGGAGACAACGCAUGAAAUCAGCCAGAGUCCAAUGUGCAGGAAGGCCUAAGGAGACUGUGGUAAAUGGUGUGAGAGAGGGAGAGAAUAAGAAGAAUUCCAUGCAAGGCUGGCCAGGGUCCUAGAUAGAAAAUGACUUGUGUGAAGGAGCAAAAGGCACCUCUCUGGGCCCCUGCAGUUCUGCAAGGUCCUCUAUCUAUAGGUUAGAGGUUAGUCUCCACCUGCUAAGGAUCAGAAGCUGUGGGCAGUACACAACCUGCACAACCUUCCAGAGGCCCUGAUGUGGCUCCCUGAGAGGCAGCAGAGGAUUUCAUUUUUCCAGUAGCACAGGACCUGAGUCUGCCUGGUAAAGUGGCUACUGCCAUCAGCAAAUGCUCUCCUCAAGGCCUCUGGUGGCUGCUCUCUAGAAGAGCUAACAGAAGAGCUCCUCACAGGGGUUGAAUCUCAGCUCUGCUACUAUGUGACCUGCUGAAAAUUAAAUUUAACUUCUCUGUGCUUCAGUUUCCUCAUUUGGAAAAUUAGAUGGUGACACUUCCCCCUAUACUGCCAUGAGGAGCAAGCUGAGAAGCAGAUAUGUGAGACCCUCAGCACAGGCCAGGCUCAGGCAACACCCAGUGACAGUCUCCAGGGACCACAGACAUGGCUGGAUGAUGUUUCCUGCAUUCCUGAUAUGAAGCAUUGGAAAGCUAGCUAUUCAAAAUGAAAAGGCUCUUUAUGACCAUUGGGAAUGGGGCAUUGUAUAUCCUCACACUUGAAAUUACCUAUUUAUUGAGUAUAAGAAGUUGGUGCUACAGUUUUAGCUAAUAAAAUACUAAUAUUUUAACACUUUGGGGAAGCAGAAACUAGAAGGAAGCAUUUAGAUUUUUCAUAUGUUCAUAACUGCACAGCCUCUUCUCUUAUCCUUGGAAGAACCCCAGAAGAUGGUUAAAAUUCUCUUCCUAACUUUACAAAUGAGGUGCAGAAACACAGAGGGGCUGGCCAGAGGGCACUGAAAUAGAACUAGAACCAAGUGAAGCAGAUCAGGUUUUGAGGGACCUGGAGCUUCUAUAGGAGUAAUGACUGAGAAAAAGAAUUCAAUGUUUUGAGCCCAAAAUGAGGUACAGCAUUGGGGAAGGAGGCUAUGCAAGUGAGAGGGCUUAAAGCUGUGAACUUUAGUCACUGCAAGACAGUUCUCCUCUUGCUGGGAUCAGAAGUGAUUUACUGCAUUCAAAUGCCAUGUUAUGGCAUGUGUGGAGGCCUGUCUUCUGUACUUUACUGGCCAUGAGUCUGAAAGUACCGGCCCACCUGACCUCAGCCUCAUGCUCCACAACCCCUGAACACCAUGACAAAAUCCUGGAUGCUAUGAUCUGUUUUGUGUCAAUGUGGCUGUGCUGCUGUACCCAGUCAUUUAAUCAAACUCUAGUAUCAGUACUGCAGUGAAGGAAAUUACCCUAGAUAAUGUGGGUAGGCCUCACCCAAUCAAUUGAAGCAUUUAAGGGCAAAGGCAGGGGCUUCCUAGAGAUAAAUUCUGCAUCAAAUCUGUAACAUAGAAAUCCUGCCUGGAGAGGGAUAAAUUAGGACUUGGGAUUAAUAUACGUACACCACUAUAUACAAAAUUGUUAAUCAACAAAGACCUACUGUAGAGCAUAGGGAACUCUAUUCAAUAUUCUGUGAUAACCAAAUUAAAAAAAGAAUCUGCAAGAGAAUGGAUAUAUGUAUAUGUAUAAAUGAUUCACUUUGCUGUGCACCUUAAGCUAACAAAACAUUGUAAAUCAACUAUACUCCAAUGUAACAUUGGGGUGGGGGGAGUUUUCUUAUGGCUCAGCAGGUUAAGGAUCUGGCAUUGUCACUGCAGUGUCUUGGGUCACUGCUGUGGCACAGGUUCAAUCCCUGGCCUGGGAACUUUCACAUGCCAUGGGCGCAGCCAAAAAAAAAGCAAAACCAAAAACAAAAAAAGAAGUCUUGCAACCUGCUAGCCUGUCCUACAGAUUCUUCAUUUGCCAACUCCACAACUGCAUGACACAUGAUCUAAUUCUUUAAAAUAAGUCAUAUAUAUGUGUAUGUAUAGACACCCACAUAUGUAUAUAAAAUCUUUGUUUACAAAUAUAUGUAUCUUUAAUUUCCACAAUUUCUGUUGACAAAAUUAUAAACAUGAGCACAAUUUUUUUGUAAUAAAGGUCUACUAAUGAGAAGAAAGGAAUUCUUUUCUUGUUUGAGGGAUAACAUUUUGCCUAACAGAAGUUCAAAGUUAGUAUUCUCCAAAUACAUACAUUUAUAAAUGUUACAUAAAUAUAUAUUAUACACAUAAUGCAUGCACAUAUAUAUCUAUAUAUCUCCUAUUGUUCCUAUUUCCCUGAAGAGGCCUGAUGGAUACACUGGGCCCCCUCCUCCUCAGGGGGUGGGUAUGGUCAGCUCUUCACUGGCUGUGUAGUUGGUGGCAAUAACAGCACAGCACUGGGCCAGCUCCUGGGAGAGAUGCUGUUCCAUGCACAAGCAUCCUUGGCUUUUCCCUUCACACUCAUCCCCAUGGGAGAGCUUCCCACUUCAAUCCUUAGACUCGUGCUUCCCAACCUUCCAACACCAAGACUGAAUGCACCAGAUGGGUAGAAGGUCUGGAGGUGUCAUUCUAAAAUAGGACAAGUCAGGCCUUUGCCUUGCACACACCACCACUAGUUCAGAAAUUGCAAACUCUCAGCAAGACGGCUACACUCCACUAAAGAAGUGCUGUACUUGUCUAAUCGUGUCUCAAAAGAAAUCAAGCCAACAUUUCAAUAUUCAUUAGGUUUCACAUCACAAACUAGCUCUUCCAGUUUCCUGGGAAAAGAAUGGACUGUCUAGGAAUACCUUGGGGGUGGGGUUGGCUACUACUACUCUUAGGAGCUGGUCAGCUGCAGGAAGCCCUUGGUCCGGGGCACCAGAGAAGGCAGACCCAUUCUCCCAAAUCUUGGUACUUCCCACAUUGCAGCCAGAGGUCACAGAGGGCCUAGCUGACCUGCAGCCUCCCCCUUUCCAGCCCACCCAUUGGUCAUUAGAAUGCAACAGGAGAUGUGCAGGGGAAAAAAAUAAAAACUAUUCACUUUUUCUAAUCACUAGCAUUUCUCGAAACAGAUUCAAUGAGUGCACGAACUGCAAAAUCUUGGCUGAGAGGGCAAUUAAGGAUUAUGUGAGGCCUUCACUUUUAAAUUCCUUCCAGCUCAUCUAUGUAUGGUUGGUGGUAAAAAAUUCAUCAUUAGCAGGAGAUGCUUUUAAAGUUAAUAUUCUGGUGGAGAGGAAGGGAGAGUAAUGAGUUAUCUGUAUGAUUAUGAAACCACUUGAAAAUAACAGCCAACCACUCUGAAGCACAGAGUAGA
rnacentral:lncRNA from 1 species